UUUUUUUCCAAAUCUAUGGGUUGUGUUUUCUUCAAUUUUAAAAUAUUAAAAAUUGAAUCUUUUUUUUUUUUUUGGGUAAUAUUUUUCAUUAGAUUAUGCUAUGGGUUCUGAUGAGGCUUUGAAUUGGGUUUGAGAGUUUUGAUUUAAUGAGAGAGAUAAGGAGUAUACACGGAGACAGGGAGUUAGGUCAUUUGAAGAAAUGGAGAUUAGGGUGAGAGAAAAACGGGAGAGAAGGGGUAGCAGAUUAACUUUUGAUUUUAUAAUUUUGGGGGUUUUGUGUUUAAAUUUUGCGUUUGUAAUUUUGGGGUUUUGUGUGCGCGCUUGGAUACGAUUUAGUUUUCAAUUUCAGGAAACGGUGGUGUUCAAUUUUGGGGCUUUCAUGUGCAACCUUGGAACCACUUUGUGCUCAAGGUAUAUAAAAGGAGAUGUUACUCUUCGUUUUUUGGGGCUUUUGUGUGAAGCUUUCGAAGCCCUUUGUGCUCAAGUUAUGGUAUGAGACGUGAUAUAAAUUGAACAGGGUGAGAUAAGCCUUCAAAUACGGGUCUAUUCAUUCUGGUAAUGCUACAAAUGGAUAAAUCACAUCAGAGCGUCUGCUACCCCUUUGGUACUUGAUUUCAUGGAUUCAUCUAUGUGCUAUCUCCAUAACUAUUAUCUGUCUGCUGCCUAUUACUAUGGAGGCUAUGAUGAGACUAGCAACAACUGGGACGACUACUUGAGAUAUGUAAAUCCUGAGGGAGUAUAAAUGAUUUCUAAAGGAGGAACGCCCAAACUGGAGGUCAGUCAAGCAUGACAUCCUUUCUAUGGACCUGAGGGGAAAUUAGGAGACAUGGAAAUUGUUGCCAAAUGUGAGGACAUAAAGUUGUCUAUUUGCAAAAUUACGUUGAAGUGGCACAAGGACCCUAAGUUGGAUGUAGGGAUAGAUUCCGGUCCGUCCCGGGCGACGGUUUGGUGUUGGCAUAGGGCCUAGAGUGUGUUUCCUUUGGCUAUUUAGCACAGGGACAGGGAGCUGGCAUGGGGCCUGAAGUGUAUUUUUCUCUGACUGUCUGCUCAGAGACGGGGAGCCGGCAUGGGGCUUGGGGGUUAUUGGACAAUUCACUAGUGAUUAUUAUAUAUA